UUUUGUUCAUUUAUUGUGUCAACUGCAGUAACGACAAAGUUGUCUCCGUCACAAUAUUUUCAACGAUGACCUUGUGCGAGCACGAAUGUAAAAUUCGGCUAACAUCCAACAUGUAUCUCAUCGAGCAACAGUAAUUGGCGAAUGCUUCAGAAAACGUUGAUCGGCAUUUUGCGAGCUUUAGAGUCGUCAAUCACCGCUUUUAAAACCGCCGCGCGAAGCGGUUCCACUCCAGACUACCGUAGCGUCUUCGUCGGCUCCAUUUUCUUCUUAUCACCGGAGCCACGCGUGAACGCUGCACGAGGAGAGAAAACGAUUAUUUCAAUCCUGAAGCCACGAUUCAUUACCUAACACACAUUUAGACAUGGCAGCCCAACUUUUUAAUCGAAUAAGUCAAUUUGGCAUAGGUUUAGCUGUCGCAGGUGGUGUUGUUAACUCUGCGCUAUAUAACGUUGAUGGAGGACACAGAGCUGUUAUAUUCGAUAGAUUUGCUGGUAUAAAAAAUUUUGUGGUUGGAGAAGGAACACACUUUUUUAUUCCUUGGGUGCAAAAGCCAAUUAUCUUUGACAUCCGUUCACGUCCACGAAACGUCCCUGUCAUUACAGGGAGCAAGGAUUUACAAAAUGUAAAUAUUACUCUCCGUAUCCUCUUCAGACCUGUGCCAGAUUCGUUACCUAAGAUAUACACAAUCCUUGGUGUGGAUUACGAUGAAAGGGUAUUGCCAUCUAUCACUACUGAAGUGCUAAAAGCUGUUGUUGCACAAUUUGAUGCUGGUGAAUUAAUUACGCAAAGAGAAGUUGUAUCUCAAAAAGUCAGCGAAGACUUGACUGACAGAGCUUCCCAGUUUGGCCUCAUUCUAGAUGAUAUUUCUAUUACACAUUUGACGUUUGGCAAAGAAUUUACCCAAGCUGUAGAGUUGAAGCAAGUAGCUCAACAAGAUGCAGAGAAGGCUCGUUUCUUGGUAGAAAAGGCCGAGCAACAGAAGAAAGCAGCUAUUAUCAGUGCCGAAGGUGACGCACAGGCUGCGAGUUUAUUAGCAAAGUCUCUCGCUGAGGCGGGAGAAGGUCUCGUCGAGCUCAGGAGAAUCGAAGCCGCGGAGGAUAUUGCGCACAACUUAUCUAAAUCGCGGCAAGUGGCGUACUUACCGUCAGGCCAAAAUGUGCUGCUUAAUUUGCCGCAGUAAGAUAAACAACUGGUACAAUGUGUUUGUUAAUUAUGCAUUUAUGAAGAGUAUGAAGCUGUAAUAGAAUAUAAAAAAGCCAUGAAUCUGCUUCCUUUAAAAAAAAAUGCAUAUGGUCCUAUUCCCUUUAGCUAUUGGUGGUGCUCUUCAACAUUAAAUAAUUGUUUAAUUCUCAGUGCUUGAUAUAUAUCAUUAAUACUAGGUGCAAUAUACUUCUCAAUGAUACUAAAUCAACGACAAGUUUAAUGCAAUGCAAACUGAAUGGGAACAAUAAAUCGAUGCCUUUUAUACAGUUAUAUAUAAGAUCUAUCAGUUUCAUUAUGUACUGACGUCGCGAAAUUACUAUCCACUUCAAACUAAAUCUAUGUUUUGAACGUUUUAUUUA